UGGGGGAUAUUGCGCAAUGGGGGCAACCCUGACGCAGCAACGCCGCGUGAAGGAUGAAGGUUUUCGGUUUGUAAACUUCUUUUAUUAAGGACGAAACUUGACGGUACUUAAUGAAUAAGCUCCGGCUAACUACGUGCCAGCAGCCGCGGUAAUACGUAGGGAGCAAGCGUUGUCCGGAUUUACUGGGUGUAAAGGGUGCGUAGGCGGCUUUGCAAGUCAGAUGUGAAAUCUAUGGGCUCAACCCAUAAACUGCAUUUGAAACUGUAGAGCUUGAGUGAAGUAGAGGCAGGCGGAAUUCCCCGUGUAGCGGUGAAAUGCGUAGAGAUGGAGAGGAACACCAGUGGCGAAGGCGGCCUGCUGGGCUUUAACUGACGCUGAGGCACGAAAGCGUGGGUAGCAAACAGG
rnacentral:rRNA from 1 species